rnacentral:lncRNA from 1 species
GGACCCAUCUUCAGUUUUCUUACAAUAUCAAAGCUUCAUGAAAAAAUGUUCUUGUUGACUUUAUAAUAGUCUUUCUACAUAGAUCAUCAUGCAGAUUUUGGUGAAGCACUUUCCCUCCCAAGAUAUUUAUUAUCACCUACCAAUUUCAUCAUGCCAAGAUCAGCUUUUGAUGAAAAAGAAAACUAAAAUGAAGAUCCAGUGGCCAAGUACAUGUAUCAAUAAGGCCAUUCAAAAUAAA